rnacentral:rRNA from 1 species
CAGCAGCCGCCGCGGGAAAACCAGCACCUCGAGUGGUCAGGAGGUUUAUUGGGCCUAAAGCAUCCGUAGCCGGUUGCAUAAGUUUUCGGUUAAAUCUAUGCGCUUAACGUAUAGGCCGCCGAAAAUACUGUGCAGCUAGGGAGUGGGAGAGGUACACGGUACUCGAUAGGAAGGGGUAAAAUCCUUUGAUCUAUUGAUGACCACCUGUGGCGAAGGCGGUGUACCAGAACACGUUCGACGGUGAGGGAUGAAAGCUGGGGGAGCAAACCGGAUUAGAUACCCGUGUAGUCCCUGUCUCUUAUAC